UACGUAGGGGGCGAGCGUUAUCCGGAUUUACUGGGUGUAAAGGGAGCGUAGACGGCAGUGCAAGUCUGGAGUGAAAGGCGGGGGCUCAACCCCCGGACUGCUCUGGAAACUGUACGGCUGGAGUGCAGGAGAGGUAAGUGGAAUUCCUAGUGUAGCGGUGAAAUGCGUAGAUAUUAGGAGGAACACCAGUGGCGAAGGCGGCUUACUGGACUGUAACUGACGUUGAGGCUCGAAAGCGUGGGGAGCAAACAGG
rnacentral:rRNA from 1 species